ensembl:lncRNA
CUAAGAUCGUGGUCAUAUUAUCAAAUGCAAAUUCAGAAUUAGUUGUCAUAAAUAUAUUUUUUCAAAAAUUAGUUUCUUACGGUUUACAGUGCAUGGUAUGGAAAGUUUAAUAUAAUGUUAGAUAAUUUACCACUUGUCUAAGCUAGAGAAAAUUGAAUAAUAGCAAACUAUAACAGUUCAAUAGUUUUUCUUAAUGUUUCUCUAUAGAUCUAUCUUGAGUGUUAAAUUGUAUAAUCAAUAAAAACAAUAGUUUUGCUAGGGUUUUAUAGAUAAGUUGACUCGUUUUGCUUCCCCAACCCCUGUGGAGCAGCUUUCAGAACUGUUUGAAGACCCAGAAAAUCUUACAUUGUCUGUGAAAUAACGACACUGACACACGCACAUUAGUAUGACGUCAAACAGACUACACUCAGAUUCUGGAAGCAGACUACACUCAGAUUCUGGAAGCAGACUACACUCAGAUUCUGGAAGCAGACUACACUCAGAUUCUGGAAACAGGCUACACUCAGAUUCUGGAAGCAGGCUACACUCAGAUUCUGGAAGCAGACUACACUCAGAUUCUGGAAACAGACUACACUCAGAUUCUGGAAACAGACUACACUCAGAUUCUGGAAACAGACUACACUCAGAUUCUGGAAGCAGACUACACUCAGAUUCUGGAAGCAGACUACACUCAGAUUCUGGAAGCAGACUACACUCAGAUUCUGGAAGCAGACUACACUCAGAUUCUGGAAGCAGACUACACUCAGAUUCUGGAAGCAGACUACACUCAGAUUCUGGAAGCAGACUACACUCAGAUUCUGGAAACAGACUACACUCAGAUUCUGGAAACAGACUACACUCAGAUUCUGGAAGCAGACUACACUCAGAUUCUGGAAGCAGACUACACUCAGAUUCUGGAAGCAGACUACACUCAGAUUCUGGAAGCAGACUACACUCAGAUUCUGGAAGCAGACUACACUCAGAUUCUGGAAACAGACUACACUCAGAUUCUGGAAGCAGACUACACUCAGAUUCUGGAAACAGACUACACUCAGAUUCUGGAAGCAGUUUCCAUGCAGACAGAUUUAAGGUCUCAUUGCAAGGAAAGUAUCUUUGGUCCUAAAAAGGACAAGAGAUUUAGCCUCUGCCGUUAUCUUGUGGAAGAUGACUUAGGAAAACACCAGGGAAUUCACGAGAUCAUUUUAAAGAAAUGCAUUUUGCAG